AACGUAGGACGCAAGCGUUAUCCGGAGUUACUGGGCGUAAAGCGCGGGCAGGCGGUACUUCAAGUCUGAUGUGAAAGCUCCCGGCUUAACCGAGAGAGGCCAUUGGAAACUGGAGCACUGGAGGGCAGUAGAGGUAGGCGGAAUUCCGGGUGGAGUGGUGAAAUGCGUAGAGAUCCGGAGGAACACCAGAGGCGAAGGCGGCCUACUGGGCUGCACCUGACGCUGAGCCGCGAAAGCCAGGGGAGCGAACGGG
rnacentral:rRNA from 1 species